rnacentral:rRNA from 1 species
AGGGAAUAUUGGGCAAUGGGCGAAAGCCUGAUCCAGCGACGCCGCGUGGAGGAAGAAGUCCUUCGUGAUGUAAACUUCUGAACUAGCCGAAUAAAAGGCCUGUGGACACAUAGGAGAAGAAAGUAGGCUAGGAAAAGUCCCGGCUAACUACGUGCCAGCAGCCGCGGUAAGACGUAGGGGGCAAGCGUUACCCGGAAUUACUGGGCGUAAAGGGGGCGUAGGCGGUAAAAGAAGUCAUCUGUGAAAACCUAUUGCUCAACGAUAGGCUAGCGGAUGAAACUGAAUUACUUGAGGGCACCAGAGGUAGACGGAAUUACCCGAGUAGGGGUGAAAUCCGCAGAUACGGGUAGGAACGCCGGUGGAGAAGUCGGUCUACUGGGGUGCACCAGACGCUGAGGCCCGAAAGCUAGGGGAGCAAACC